UGCUGGAUCUCAUUACGGCGUCCAAACUGCUGCAGGACAGAACACCAAGGAUGAAAGGAUCAUCGAGGACAAAAGGAAUUUUAGAGCCAAAUUGCACCUUGGUUGACCGAGUUGCUGAACCAAGACAUUGGCUAGAUGAUUGGCAACCUCUGAGCCGGUGAUUACAGUUUCCCAGUAGGGUUAGGCUCCAAGUGAGGACAAGACAGAGCUUGGUGACGAUGGUAGCGCCGAAUUACCGCGACAUCCGCCAAGACCGGUAGAGCCGGAUAGCUAUUGCGACAAGCUGAGGAAAGAUAAUUCGGUCAACUGGACUAGGACCAGGCCUAGGUUUUGCCGGCCGAAUCCAUAAUGAGACACGCCAGAUCGGGAGGAGUCGGUCCAGCUGCAUAACUGGGUCACUGGUUUUCACCAACGUCGAUAGCGAGGCCAUAAAGCAUAACAGCAAGUUGGUGGCUGAAGGUGUCAAGGCGGUGCCGUGUGUCUGCUGCCGACGAGCGUUUGCAAGGAACAGCAGGUUGAAUGGCCUUCCGUUACGUGGCAGCCGGAAACACAUCGUAAAAGGUGUCGUCGUGAUUGUCGUUUCAACCAGUUUGGCUAUUUGUGCUUAAGUUGAAGAGGUUGGAAGCUAGCCAAACCGUGGAACUAACAAGAUUGUGCUGACAACGGGAUACCGAGGUCUACGUUACGCCGAUGGACGUACCGUGAAGUCAUGGUUAUAAUCGAUCGAACGAUGUGACAACGUUGAGCGGAGCGAAGAAGUUGCCAUAGGAGGCCAACAAGCCGGAACCAGUUUGAGAACUUGGCACUGCCUCGAAGUGUUCUGACUGUGGCUUUCCGAUAUUGAUUGGACACAGGCAUUGUUUGUAAUUUAUAUUGUGUAAAAUUGUCGAAUAUGUUUUUAUCAUCAAGUCAUUGUAAUCAUUUUGUUAAUAAACUUAAAGAAACAUUGUUUAACUCAUA